UUUUAUAUAUUAAUUCAUUAGCGCUCGAGCAGAGAAUAAAAACUUCAUUUUGUAGGUCGUUUUGUAUAUAUUAUCUAUAUCAUGUAUGUGGAGGUUCUAGUUUCAUAGAUCUAGAGUGCACGUUCAACAUUAUCAUGUUAUUUGAAUACUUGAUCAAGCAAAACAAUUUCAAACUAAAUAACUUUAGUUUUUUAAAACUGGAAAUUGCUAUCAAAUCGUGUUAUACAUGA
rnacentral:sRNA from 1 species